ensembl:lncRNA
AGUUGACGUCGCAGUAGUGGUUGGCGUGGUUAUGCUUUCGGUUGUUGUGGGAGUUGUGGUCGUUGCUGUAGCUGUUGACAUCGCGGCAGUGGUCGCCGUGGUGGUGGUUUCGGUUGUCAAGGGAGUUGUGGUCAUUUCAGUAGUGGUUGACGUCGCGGUAGUGGUCGGCAUGGUGGUGGUUUCGGUUGUCAUGGGAGUUGUAGUCGUUGCUGUAGUAGUUGACGUCUCGGUAGUGGUCGGAGCUGUUGUGCUUUGGGUUGUCGUGGGAGUUGUUGUCGUUGCUGUAGUAGUUGACGUCGUGGAAGUGGUUGACGCCGCGGCAGUGGUCGGCGUGGUGGUUGUGGUUUCGGUUGUCGUGGGAGUUGUCAUUUCAGUAGUGGUUGACGUCGCGGCAGUGGUCGGCAUGGUGGUGGUUCCGGUUGUCGUAGGAGUUGUAGUCGUUGCAGUAGUGGUUGACGUCGCGGCAGUGUUCGGCAUGGUGGUGGUUCCGGUUGUCGUGGGAGUUGUUGUCGUUUCAGCAGUAGUUGACAUCGUGGUACUUGUCAGGGUGGUGGUUGUUUCGGUUGUCGUGGGAGUUGUUGUCGUUGCUGUAGUAGUUGACGUCACGGUAGUGGUCGGAGCUGUUGUGCUUUGGGUUGUCGUGGGAGUUGUAGUCGUUGCAGUAGUAGUUGACGUCGCGGUAGUGGGUGAUGCCGCAGCAGUGGUCGGCGUGGUGGUGGUUCCGGUUGUCGUGGGAGUUGUAGUAGUUGCAGUAGAAGUUGACGUCGCAGUAGUGGUUGGCGUGGUUAUGCUUUCGGUUGUUGUGGGAGUUGUGGUCGUUGCUGUAGCUGUUGACAUCGCGGCAGUGGUCGCCGUGGUGGUGGUUUCGGUUGUCAAGGGAGUUGUGGUCAUUUCAGUAGUGGUUGACGUCGCGGUAGUGGUCGGCAUGGUGGUGGUUUCGGUUGUCAUGGGAGUUGUAGUCGUUGCUGUAGUAGUUGACGUCGCAGAAGUGGUUGACGCCGCGGCAGUAGUCGGCGUGGUGGUGGUGGUUUCGAUUGUCGUGGGAGUUUUAGUCGUUGCAGUCGUAGUUGACGUCGCGGUAGUGGUCGGAGCUGUUGUGCUUUGGGUUGUCGUGGGAGUUGUCGUUUCAGUAGUAGUUGACAUCGUGGUACUUGUCAGGGUGGUGGUUGUUUCGGUUGUCGUGGGAGUUGUUGUCGUUGCUGUAGUAGUUGACGUCACGGUAGUGGUCGGAGCUGUUGUGCUUUGGGUUGUCGUGGGAGUUGUUGUCGUUGCUGUAGUAGUUGACGUCGCGGUAGUGGGUGAUGCCGCAGCAGUGGUCGCCGUGGUGGUGGUUUCGGUUGUCAUGGGAGUUGUGGUCAUUUCAGUAGUGGUUGACGUCGCGGCAGUGGUCGCCAUGGUGGUGGUUCCGGUUGUCGUGGGAGUUGCUGUCGUUGCUGUAGUAGUUGACGCAGAGGUAGUGGUCGGAGUGGUUGUGCUUUCGGUUGUUGUGGGAGUUGUAGUCGUUGCUGUAGCUGUUGACAUCGCGGCAGUGGUCGCCGUGGUGGUGGUUUCGGUUGUCAAGGGAGUUGUGGUCAUUUCAGUAGUGGUUGACGUCGCGGCAGUGGUCGGCAUGGUGGUGGUUUCGGUUGUCAUGGGAGUUGUUGUCGUUGCUGAAGUAGUUGACGUCGUGGUAGUGGUUGGAGCUGUUGUGCUUUGGGUUGUCGUGGGAGUUGUAGUCGUUGCAGUAGUAGUUGAAGUCGCGGCAGUGGUCGGCGUGGUUGUGCUUUCAGUUGUCGUGGGAGUUGUCAUUUCAGUAGUGGUUGACGUCGCGGCAGUGGUCAGCAUGGUGGUGGUUCCGGUUGUCGUAGGAGUUGUAGUCGUUGCAGUAGUGGUUGACGUCGCGGCAGUGGUCGGCAUGGUGGUGGUUCCGGUUGUCGUGGGAGUUGUAGUCGUUGCAGUAGUGGUUGACGUCGCGGCAGUGUUCGGCAUGGUGGUGGUUCCGGUUGUCGUGGGAGUUGUUGUCGUUUCAGUAGUUGUUGUCGUUUCAGUAGUUGUUGUCGUUUCAGUAGUAGUUGACAUCGCGGUAGUGGGUGAUGCCGCAGCAGUGGUCGGCGUGGUGGUGGUUCCGGUUGUCGUGGGAGUUGUAGUAGUUUCAGUAGAAGUUGACGUUGCAGUAGUGGUUGGUGUGGUUAUGCUUUCGGUUGUUGUGGGAGUUGUGGUCGUUUCAGUAGUGGUUGACGCAGAGGUAGUGGUCGGAGUGGUUGUGCUUUCGGUUGUUGUGGGAGUUGUAGUCGUUGCUGUAGUAGUUGACGUCGCGGUAGUGGGUGAUGCCGCAGCAGUGGUCGGCGUGGUGGUGGUUCCGGUUGUCGUGGGAGUUGUAGUAGUUUCAGUAGAAGUUGACGUUGCAGUAGUGGUUGGUGUGGUUAUGCUUUCGGUUGUUGUGGGAGUUGUAGUCGUUUCAGUAGUGGUUGACGUCGCGGUCGUGGUUGGAGUGUUUGUGGUUUCGGUUGUCGUGGGAGGUGUAAUCAUUUCAGUAGUGGUUGACGUCGCGGUAGUGGUCGGAGUGGUUGUGCUUUCGGUUGUUGUGGGAGUUGUAGUCAUUUCAGGAGUAGUUGACGUUGCGGUAGUGGUCGGAGUGGUUGUGCUUUCGGUUGUCGUUGGAGUAGUAGUCGUUUCAGUUGUAGUUGACGUUGCAGUAGUGGUUGGCGUGGUUAUGCUUUCGGUUAUCGUGGGAGUUGUUGUCCUUGCUGUAGUAGUUGACGUCGCAGAAGUGGUUGACGCUGCGGCAGUAGUCGGCGUGGUGGUGGUUUCAGUUCUCGUGGGAAUUGUAGUCGUUGCAGUAGUAGUUGACGUCGUGGAAGUGGUUGACGCCGCGGCAGUGGUCGGCGUGGUGGUUGUGCUUUCGAUUGUUGUGGGAGUUGUAGUAGUUGCAGUAGAAGUUGACGUCGCAGUAGUGGUUGGCGUGGUUAUGCUUUCAGUUGUCAUGGGAGUUGUCGUUUCAGUAGUGGUUGACGUCGUGGAAGUGGUUGACGCCGCAGCAGUAGUCAGCGUGGUGGUCGUUUCAGUAGUAGCUGAGGCCACGGUAGUGGUCGGCGUGGUUGUGCUUUCGGUUGUCAUGGGAGUUGUAGUCAUUUCAGUAAUAGUUGACGUCGCGGAAGUGGGUGACACCGCAGCAGUGGUCGGCGUGGUGGUGGUUUCGGUUGUCGUGGGAGUUGACGUCGUUUCAGAAGUAGUUGAAGUCGCGGUAGUGGUCGGCGUGGUGAUGCUUUCGGUUGUCGUGGGAGUUGUAGUCGUUGCAGUAGCUGUUGAUAUCGCGGCAGUGCUCAGCGUGGUGGUGGUUUCAGUUGUCGAGGGAGGUGUAGUCAUUUCAGUAGUAGUUGACGCAGAGGUAGUGGUCGGAGUGGUUGUGCUUUCGGUUGUUGUGGGAGUUGUAGUCGUUUCAGUAGUGGUUGACGUCGCGGUCGUGGUUGGAGUGUUUGUGGUUUCGGUUGUUGUGGGAGUUGUAGUCAUUUCAGGAGUAGUUGACGUUGCAGUAGUGGUCGGAGUGGUUGUGCUUUCGGUUGUCGUUGGAGUAGUAGUCGUUUCAGUUGUAGUUGACGUCGCAGUAGUGGUCGGCGUGGUUGUGCUUUCGGUUGUCGUUGUCAUUGUAAUCAUUUCUGUAGUACCUGAUGUCACUGUUGUGGUCGGAGUGGUUGUGUUUUCGGUUGCCGUUGGAGUUGUAGUCGUUUCGUUUGUAUUUUGGCCUUUUAUUGCUGUGGCUUGAGAGCAAUGUGCAAACAUUAGUUUUAAAUUUUAAUUUAAGCCUUUGUGCUUUUACAUUUUUCGAUGUAUACUUUAUACUAUGUUAAACCAUGUAGAAUUUGUUUAUCUUAGUCUUGAAGUUUAACAUUUUUUCAAAAUCUUUUUAUUGGAUAUCCUCAGUUCAGUAGAUUCCAGAUUGAUUCUAUAUAUUUUCCAUUUUGCUUAUUUAAUAAUAUGUUAAAUUUAUGUUCAUGAUGCUGAAGGUGUGAAUUGUUGAAGGAAUCAUUUCAUGGCUCUUUAUCCUUACCAGUCAAAAGAAAGAGUGCGAAUCUCCCCACCGUCCACAUAGUGGCAAGAAGUUCUCGUCACCUGCAAUGUGAACACUUUCUUUAGUAUUAAUACGAGUUCAGCGUGAAGAGCUCCAUGUUUAGUAUUUAUAUGAGUGCAGUGUCAAGUGCUCAGUGUUGACUAAUAGUAUGAUUACAGUGUUAAGGACUGUUUUCCUAUGCUUCAAAGCCAAUAAUUUGUGUUGUUUGUAUUUGUACAUUGAUCAAAUGUUAUUACUUCCCUAAGUAUUGUGUUCCAAUUUGAUAUGCUGACAGUACAUAAAGAUUGCACAAGCCAGGCGGUUUGUUAUAGAGUAAAUU